CGGGCGCAGAGCCCUUUGCGCGCUGCGGUUGAGCAACCGGGCGCCGCCCCUUUGGUGCCGGCCGCCGCGCGGGGGAUCGUGCGCUCGCCCAGCCUCGGGGUCCCGCCGGCCCUCGCCGGUUCCCGUAAAUUUGCUGGUCACUCUGAUUUAGGGGAAUGAAACUCCCGACCUACUGUAUGUCCGGACAGCCCUUGUCUUUUUUGUGAAUGUGAUUUCUCGGCUCCAGCGUGGAACCCUCAACCUAACAGCACAGCUCCUUCACCCUCCUGGCAUAGACUUCCUGGCUUCCACCACUGACCUUUGGGCCUUCCCAGCAUGGAUUUGUAAGAGAGACUGUUAUGAGUCCUUGUGGACUUUAGACCUCCAAUUGGACUCCUGGGAGGCAUUGUCAUGAGCUCUGGGUCUUCAUCUGGACUCAUGUGGGACAUUGCUAUGGGAUUCAGGCCCUUGGCUAGAUAUCCUAUGUCUUUAGUGCUGUGGAUAGAUUUCCUGUAUUUUCUUGUGUUAACUCUGGGUGACCAUUAUAAAAAUAAUAUUAUAAACUCCA